UACGUAGGUGGCAAGCGUUGUCCGGAAUUAUUGGGCGUAAAGCGCGCGCAGGCGGUCCUUUAAGUCUGAUGUGAAAGCCCACGGCUCAACCGUGGAGGGUCAUUGGAAACUGGGGGACUUGAGUACAGAAGAGAAGAGUGGAAUUCCACGUGUAGCGGUGAAAUGCGUAGAGAUGUGGAGGAACACCAGUGGCGAAGGCGACUCUUUGGUCUGUAACUGACGCUGAGGAGCGAAAGCGUGGGGAGCGAACAGG
rnacentral:rRNA from 1 species